rnacentral:rRNA from 1 species
GCUUACGGCCACACAGCCUGGUUCACGCCCGAUCUCGUUUGAUCUCGAAAAUAAGAUAGGUUGGGCCUGUUUAGUACUUGGAUGGGAGACCGCCUGGGAAUACCAGGUGCUGUAAACU